rnacentral:rRNA from 1 species
AGAGUUUGAUCCUGGCUCAGAUUGAACGCUGGCGGCAGGCCUAACACAUGCAAGUCGAACGGUAACAGGAAGCAGCUUGCUGCUUCGCCGACGAGUGGCGGACGGGUGAGUAAUGUCUGGGAAACUGCCUGAUGGAGGGGGAUAACUACUGGAAACGGUGGCUAAUACCGCAUAACGUCGCAAGACCAAAGAGGGGGACCUUCGGGCCUCUUGCCAUCAGAUGUGCCCAGAUGGGAUUAGCUUGUUGGUGAGGUAACGGCUCACCAAGGCGACGAUCCCUAGCUGGUCUGAGAGGAUGACCAGCCACACUGGAACUGAGACACGGUCCAGACUCCUACGGGAGGCAGCAGUGGGGAAUAUUGCACAAUGGGCGCAAGCCUGAUGCAGCCAUGCCGCGUGUAUGAAGAAGGCCUUCGGGUUGUAAAGUACUUUCAGCGGGGAGGAAGGUGUUGUGGUUAAUAACCGCAGCAAUUGACGUUACCCGCAGAAGAAGCACCGGCUAACUCCGUGCCAGCAGCCGCGGUAAUACGGAGGGUGCAAGCGUUGAUCGGAAUUACUGGGCGUAAAGCGCACGCAGGCGGUCUGUCAAGUCGGAUGUGAAAUCCCCGGGCUCAACCUGGGAACUGCAUUCGAAACUGGCAGGCUUGAGUCUUGUAGAGGGGGGUAGAAUUCCAGGUGUAGCGGUGAAAUGCGUAGAGAUCUGGAGGAAUACCGGUGGCGAAGGCGGCCCCCUGGACAAAGACUGACGCUCAGGUGCGAAAGCGUGGGGAGCAAACAGGAUUAGAUACCCUGGUAGUCCACGCCGUAAACGAUGUCUACUUGGAGGUUGUGCCCUUGAGGCGUGGCUUCCGGAGCUAACGCGUUAAGUAGACCGCCUGGGGAGUACGGCCGCAAGGUUAAAACUCAAAUGAAUUGACGGGGGCCCGCACAAGCGGUGGAGCAUAUGGUUUAAUUCGAUGCAACGCGAAGAACCUUACCUGGUCUUGACAUCCACAGAAGAAUCCAGAGAUGGAUUUGUGCCUUCGGGAACUGUGAGACAGGUGCUGCAUGGCUGUCGUCAGCUCGUGUUGUGAAAUGUUGGGUUAAGUCCCGCAACGAGCGCAACCCUUAUCCUUUGUUGCCAGCGAUUAGGUCGGGAACUCAAAGGAGACUGCCAGUGAUAAACUGGAGGAAGGUGGGGAUGACGUCAAGUCAUCAUGGCCCUUACGACCAGGGCUACACACGUGCUACAAUGGCGCAUACAAAGAGAAGCGACCUCGCGAGAGCAAGCGGACCUCAUAAAGUGCGUCGUAGUCCGGAUUGGAGUCUGCAACUCGACUCCAUGAAGUCGGAAUCGCUAGUAAUCGUGGAUCAGAAUGCCACGGUGAAUACGUUCCCGGGCCUUGUACACACCGCCCGUCACACCAUGGGAGUGGGUUGCAAAAGAAGUAGGUAGCUUAACCUUCGGGAGGGCGCUUACCACUUUGUGAUUCAUGACUGGGGUGAAGUCGUAACAAGGUAGCC